GAUUGAUUGAAAUCUAAUCAUACUAUUACUAAAACUAUAUGCAGAAUCAAAACUACCAAAAGGUCCAAAUUCGGAGCAUUAAAAGUUCCAUCGGUCUAAUUGGACUUUGGCUUCCGCCAUGUCUUUCUGUGCCUUCUUCCUCCGGUAAAAUAUUGGGCAAUCUCGGCUACAACACAACCAUUAACAACCAUCAAUCUUAGUAUCUUACCAUCCACAAAUAUAUAUACACACACACACACACACACUCAUGAACCAGUAGUGAUCUGAAAAUGUAAGGAGCACCUUGUGCAUAAGACAUCUUGAUGAAGAGAUCCUUGACACUCUUGGCAUUGUGUCCACAGCCUCCCAAAAAGCUUCUCUAGCUCCGAUACUUGCGGAAACAAAGAAAACUGUGAGCAAAGUGUUUGAUCUUUAUUACUGCAAGCAAACACAACCAUUCGAUCCAUUUGCCCAUAAGAAAUAAAAAAACUAGAAGUCAUUUGGGUUGUUGGUAGGUACCUGAUUAAGGCUUUGCAGCCAACGCAACUUAGCUGCUUCUUCGCAAACUUCAUUAUCCCACUGUUUGACGGAGUAGAUAUGGAGAUAGCUCUAGUGUGGCUCCCGUGAAGAAGUUCUCUACUGGCGUUCUUCAAAAUGGGGUCAAAUAUCCUCAACAGUGGCUGCAUCGCAAACCAUCAACAGUCUCAGGUACAGCUUUGAUAAUGACAUAUGGUACUCGGUCUCCAACAUUUGGAGCAGUUGCUGCAUCUCGCUGUAGUAAAUAUAAUACAACAAUGUGAUGAUAUAGCUUGGUUAACAAGUUAUAAUGCUAAAAGAUAACUAACUAUUAACCUUUCUCAUUCGCUCUGCAAGUUCAACAUGUGCUGCCUUUACAUCAUAAUCCUCUCCGGAUUUCGUCAGUCCCUUGGUAAUAACCAAAAGAGACAAAUCCAUGCGAUUCAUAAGCAGAUCUGAAAUGGUAUUUUUGACGUAUUGAACGGCUCCAGGUAUGUCUCUGUCUAUUAGUAUUUUGUUAAGGCACUCCGUUACCAGGUUUUUUACUAACAGACAGUUGUCCCUUCUAACUGUUUCAAUACCUGAAGAAAAAAAAAAAAAAAAAACUCAAAUGGGCAAGAAAAAACAUAUUUUGAAGAGAAAAAUGGUCUUUUUAUAUGCUUUAGCUAACCUUUUGUAUCCAUUUUGUCAAAUUUGUCGGGAUUUGUCCAGUAGAGGCCAGCAUACCUCUUUUUGCUGAUCAGCAGGUACGGGAAAUAUACCUUUUCGAAUUCUAGUUUAAUAGGCUUUGCAAAACAAACAAUCACGCAAGGAAAAAUCAGAACGUGAAUAUAUUAACAUCAGACUAUAUUAAACGAAUGAAAUUUGCACUUGUUGUUAUGAGUCAACUUACCUUGAUGAAAGUCCCACUAAUGUAAUCAGCAGCUUCCCUACCCAGCUUCAUGGCGUCAUCAACAGUUUGCACACCGAAUUGCACCAUAACAGAAUCUGUAUCCCCAUAUAUUACCUCAGCAUUAUGUUCGAAGCCAUUAAGUGUUGUGAAUUUAUCUUCGACGAGUUUUUUUGUAUGUUCGAUCAUCUGUCGGCCUUCAAAAAUCAAUCAAGUUAGUUAUUACCAUAAUAGAAUAUUCAUUUGAGCUACAUGCACAUGAACGCAUAUUACCAUAGCUUGUAACACUUGAGGAUAUCUCUAAGCAUGGUAACUGGCCAAUCGUAGCUCCUGUAAACCCAUACACUGAAUUUGCACUUAUCUGCACAUGAUGAAUAAAUGUUAAUAAUACUAAGGAAAGUAAUUAACUAAGGAAAAAAACACAAAGAGGAAUUACCUUCAAAGCCAGCUGGCGACCGUCCAAUACAGCCUUCACUAGGGGAUCCUUUGCCUCCUGAAACCCAACCAACUCAUUAUUGUAUAAGCAUAAUACUUAUAAUACUAGAUAAUGUGCUGCACAAUGAAAAAUCUAUG
rnacentral:lncRNA from 1 species